rnacentral:rRNA from 1 species
GACGAACGCUGGCGGCGUGCUUAACACAUGCAAGUCGAACGGAAAGGCCCUGCUUUUGUGGGGUGCUCGAGUGGCGAACGGGUGAGUAACACGUGAGUAACCGGCCCUGGACUUUGGGAUAACUUCAGGAAACUGGGGCUAAUACCGGAUAGGAGCGCCUGCUGCAGGGUGGGGGUGGGAAAGUUUCGGCGGUUGGGGAUGGACUCGCGGCUUAUCAGCUUGUUGGUGGGGUAGUGGCUUACCAAGGCUUUGACGGGUAGCCGGCCUGAGAGGGUGACCGGCCACAUUGGGACUGAGAUACGGCCCAGACUCCUACGGGAGGCAGCAGUGGGGAAUAUUGCACAAUGGGCGGAAGCCUGAUGCAGCAACGCCGCGUGCGGGAUGACGGCCUUCGGGUUGUAAACCGCUUUCGCCUGUGACGAAGCGUGAGUGACGGUAAUGGGUAAAGAAGCACCGGCUAACUACGUG